GCCAGUGUAGUGUAGUGGUUUGAGCCUUGGACUAUGAUUGGAGACCAGGGUUCAAAUCCCAGCGUGGCCA